AUUCAGAGAGGUUGAGUGACUUGCCCAAGGUCACACAGCGAAUGAGUUCCAGAGCUAAGUAUAUGAACCCAGACUGGUAUACAAAUCGUAUCACUGCCCUCAAGAUACCCCGUUCUCACCUGCCCGUCUCUGCCCUGCUCUGAACCCCUGGCAAGCCCUCAUCUUUCUACUGCUUCCACAUCUUCGCCUCUUGCAGAAGGUCAUCACGUCGGCAUCCUACAGAAGAGCCGGAAAGUACAGCAUCGAGACUUGCAGAAUGUCCUGAAGACACCAGUGAACGCUCGUGUAAGAAAUACUGCCCUUUUCCAGCGUCUUGAGGGUCCAGGGGACGACAGCACAAGGAAACACAGGGGCGCUGACAAGUCUGAGUUGAACAUGAUUCAGAAGAAGAGCUCUGAACGUUUCCAACUUUUAGGACAAGAGGAACUAAUGUGUGCGUAACAGAGAUACACGAAAGCAAACCACAAGGGUGAUGAGAUCCCACCGCACACCCGUCAGAAGGGCUAAAAUCAACAACACAGGGAACAACAGACCUUGGCGAGGAGGCAGAGGAAGGAGAGCCCCGUGCACGGUGGGUGGGAACGCGAGCUGCGCAUCACUCUGCAAAACAGUAUGGAGGCUCCUCGAAAAGUUAAAAAUAGAAUUACCAUGUGAUGCAGGAAUUCUACCCGCGGAUACUUGCCUAAAGCAUAAAAAAUACUAAGUCAAAGGGCUAUAGGCCCCCCAAUAUUUAUAGCAGCGAUGUCCACAAGAGCCAAAUUAUGG